rnacentral:rRNA from 1 species
UACGUAGGGGGCUAGCGUUGUCCGGAUUUAUUGGGCGUAAAGAGCGUGUAGGCGGCCAGGUAGGUCUGCUGUGAAAGUCGGGGGCUCAACCCUCGGAUGCCGGUGGAUACUGUCGGGCUUGAGUACGGAAGAGGCGAGUGGAAUUCCUGGUGUAGCGGUGAAAUGCGCAGAUAUCAGGAGGAACACCAAUUGCGAAGGCAGCUCGCUGGGACGUUACUGACGCUGAGACGCGAAAGCGUGGGGAGCAAACAGG